UACCAGCACCCCGAGUGGUCGGGACGUUUAUUGGGCCUAAAGCAUCCGUAGCCGGUUCUACAAGUCUUCCGUUAAAUCCAACUGCUUAACAGGUGGGCUGCGGAAGAUACUAUAGAGCUAGGAGGCGGGAGAGGCAAGCGGUACUCGAUGGGUAGGGGUAAAAUCCGUUGAUCCAUUGAAGACCACCAGUGGCGAAGGCGGCUUGCCAGAACGCGCUCGACGGUGAGGGAUGAGAGCUGGGGGAGCAAACCGG
rnacentral:rRNA from 1 species